UUGGAACUAAAUGAUCUUUAAAGUCCCUUCCAAACCAAACCAUUCUAUGAGUCCAUGAAAGUCAAAGUAAACACAUCCAGCAAAACUGGAAAAAAAGGUAAGAAGGAAACUGAUUUGAUUUCCCUAGGUCAGACCAAGGAAGACCCAGGUGAAAGCUAUGAUUGAUGAUGCACCUCUCCUCAGCAAAGAUCAGCCCUCACAGGUUCUGUGAGGUUCUGUGAUUGCAUUUGUAGUUCUGCCCUGGCCCAAAUGCAAUCAUUGAACCUAACCGCCAGGCCCCAGGGGAGGCACUUCUCUACCUAAGGACACCUUCACAGAAUAUGUGUACUACUUCUCUUUCUCCUUUUGGACCUGCUUUUGGAGAGGGUUCGCCUCUCUGUGUGCUCUCCUGCAGUCUGGCCUUUGAAAUCAGGCUACAGCACAGCCAUUUUAGGGCUGCAGCUCGUGCUGCCUCACUGCCUUCCUCCAGCUGAACUGAGUGUUAUCUGCACAUGGUCCACCCACACUUCCUGGCAUGCUUGGCAAUGCUUACAGUCAAAGGUGACUGGAGAGCCCAAGUCCCUCUGAGAUAGAAAUACUGCGUAGAAGGCCAGAGGAAUAAGGAAGUGCAGGCACUGUCAAGGCACUGUCAUGUUAUGUACAUUGCUUAUUUCUCACAAACACAGAAGGUUUUAACAGGACAGUGUGGAAAGGAUGGAGUUUACUCUUGCUGUGUGUAAAUCUUGAAGACUGAUUCUCUUGGCAGAGGUGGUAAUGAGCCAGUUGCAGCUCUGUGCAGAGCAGGUGAUAACAAUGAGGAUUGUUCAGGAAGAAUGGGUGGGACCUUCUGCCUGCCUCAGCUUGUAUGAUAUAUGUCCUAUACUAUUAUAUCACCUAAAGGCUU